AAGAGAGCUUCGGCUCCUUUCAUGUUUUUCACCAAUGUGCUGUCUUCAUCCUUGUUGCUUCCACCCCUUGAGGGCGGCAUGUAAAGCCUGCUCGAAGGUGGGUGGAGGGUUUGUUUGAAAAUCUAUGUUUUUGGUGCCAUGGCUUGUCUGGAUAAGAGGGAAAAAAAUGCUUUA
rnacentral:misc_RNA from 1 species